AAAAGUUAAGGGAUUUUACCAUGAGUUUAGUUGACUAAUGUAAAGCAUACUCUUUUCAACCUUGCUACUGUGUGAAGAGAGGUCUCAGGCUACUAUGCCAAGCAAAUAUCCGAUUUUUUUCCAAGAGGAGCUUUAGGUCAAGCUUCUUAACAUUACAAGCUUGAUUGCAAUUACAGUUCCACCAACAACUCAAAUUUUUUUAGGGAACGUGUAACUGCCUCAUUUUAUGGAACACCAUGUCAGUUGACUUGGCCAUCUUGUAAUUUGAGAUUUAAUUUAGUCCCAAACAACUGAUACAGUCCCCAACACUUGUGCUUCCGUAAACAAUUGGAGCACGCACUAAACGUCUUUUAAAUCAAAAAAAUACUUGAAGUUUGACUCAGUGAGACACCAGCCGCAGUCGUAAAGACAAAAUAUAGAAAAGAAAUGUGCUGUCAUCUCAGAUUGUUUAAUCAACAGUAUCUGCAGUAUUCAGUUCAUUGUUCACUGUACAACAACCUCAACCCCCAUCCCCAAAAGGGGGAAAGCAGAAGAGAUAAAGGGCCCUAAACCUAUUUAAUUUGCAUGCUUGCUUCUUUUGUACUCUCUUCUAUGGGACAGCAUAAAAUAUACAUGUUUGCUACCACAAAUGUCUUGUUGAAGGAUCAGCUAUACAUUGAAUCACUUGAAGCUAGCUUCCACGAACAAAUGACUCCUUUCAUGGCUCAGGGUUGGUUAUCAAAUUCGAUCUCAGGCACUCAACAUUUUACAAACAGUUGUAGUGACCAGAGAUGCUAUGGUGAAGAAGGCCAAAAGAUUCACUGGGAAGUAAGCUUCAUCUUUGAAACACUAGACUCGAUGCCGGCAGAGGUAAUAUGAUCAGCUGAACGACAUCGACAAUGGAUAAAGUUCUGCUCAAUAAGCUAUUUUAUUUCCUAAGUCACCAACCCCCACCCUUCCACGGGAUCCUUAUUGCACAAAUCAGCUUCCUUCAAAGUUACAAAGAUAAACAGAUUUACAAGAAAACCCAGUAGACAAUGAAACUUGGAAGUUUCCCGUGAAUGUUGUAUCUUUUUUUUUCAACCUCGAAUGUUGUAUCUGACAAAUAUAAUAUCAUGCUUCACCUGUGCGACCUUCCAAAGGAGGGCAAGGGUUUAGAUCUAGUGAAGGAAUCAGUUUCACAUGGUCUUCAGGAGUUGCUGAGACACUCGAUUGGCCAGCACCGACUGCCCAUCGAAAAACUCUCCUGUCGUAGGCCUCCCGAACUGCUUUCCAAGAGCAUCAUUUUGAGAGGAUGCCAAUUCCCGGAAAGCAUGAGAUCCUGACAGUGUCCCUCGUAAAACAUCAGGAUCCCAGUACGAAGGCCCAUUCAUAUAAGGACUCUGUGGAAGUUGUGCUGCCUCCUGUAAGUAAACUGACUGAUUAAGGUGAUGAAAUGGGAUAGCACCAGUUCCUCCAGAGAGAGGUGUUGAUGAGCCAGACAUGGUGAUAGGACUUGAUAUGGGUGAAGGAGACAUCCUCCCAUUUAGCUGUUGAGGUGACCUUGGAUGUAAAAGAGGGCUACCAAUCGGCGAGACAGGGCAUGAUAUGUUCCUUGUAAUGUGGAUAUCACUGGAGAUCAAAGAGGAAUAUCAGUAAUCACAAAGAUGAGUACUGCCUUCAUUCUCUAUUAUAUUCAGAAUUAUAACUUGAAUGGCAAUUGCUUUCUUCAGAAAGACUCAAUCAAAAAUCAGAGAACUAAAGAAAUUUGAAAUAAUCAAGAGAAAAGAACCUGCAGUGAAAAUUAGAUUUUGAAACUCUGGAUGAAUGGAUUGCAAGUCUUUCUGAUUCUGACGUAGGUGAGUUCCUUGCCUGUCCAAUGCCCUAAGAUUCAUAAAGAACACACCCGUAAGAUUAAACCAUGCCACGUAAGUCCAAAGUAGGCGAGUUCCUUGCCUGUCCAGUGCCCUAAGAUUCAUAAAGAACACACCCGUAAGUUUAAACCAUGCCACACAAGUCCAAGAUGAAGAUGUAUAAUGUUAUUGACGUACUGUAAGUUUCACUUGGAAUUACUUUUUUGUGCAAUAGACAUCAUGAAUUUAAUAUGUAGUUAUCAAUCGUUAGCACACCCUUUUCUUUAGGGGUGAUUUACUCUCUUUCUCUUUUAGGUAUUCCAACAUGGGACAAGAGAAGAUGGCUUGUUCCAAGGAAGACAUGAUCCCUCAUACUGGUGCUACAAUAAAGAGAUAACAAUUUACCUUUAAUAAUACAGUUAAUGGUGCGAUAGCAUCAAUAUGCAUAUCAUUUUGGAUAUGCUGCACCAUGAGCAUCCUCCAUCUAGAUCUCCUUAUGGAAACCGACACAAGUCAAUUAUCAUUUUUUUAAAGCAUAAAAGUUUCACUUCCUUCUAUUUUCCUUCUGUGUCUCUCUUCUUUCAAGGGAGAGCAACUUACUCUCAAAUGAAUCAAGAAGCUAAAAGCAAGUCAAUUUUUUUUUUUCAAAGUAGAAGUUCACUUCUAUUUUCUUUCUUUUUUCUAAGCGUAAAGCUUCUUACUCUGUUAUGAACCAAGAAGCUAACAAGAACUAGGCUCACCAAUCUCAAUUACCUUCAAGGAAAGCAAUGACAAAAGAGAUGGCAUUCUAACAUGAAACACAUUUAUGCUUAAGAAGGCACAUGCACAGACAUCAGAGCUAUGUUUCUCGGACUCUCCAAAAAUGUCGUUGGGUGCGUGUCGGAUCCUCCAAAAGUAGUGCAUUAUUGGAGGAUCCGACACGAGUGUGGCAGCAUUUUGGAGAGUCCGCAACAUAGCAUCAGAGAGCUAUCUCUGCUUUUGUUUGAAUACAGGGGAAGAGAAGCAAGGAUGGGGAAUGACAGGACUAAAAAGUUAAAAGUUUAUUUGGUCAUCCAAAUGAACCUAGCUUGUUCUCGCCAAAAGAAGCAGCUUUUAGCCACAUGACAGAAUGCAAUACAACUGGUCAGCAAGUAGAAAAUUUCUCACUGUUCCUCUUCUAACUUGUCUAGUAAAUCCCUUUUCUUUCUCUUUUUAAUUUUACUUACUUCGAUUGCUAAAAGAUUCCUAUCCAAAGGAAAAAGGAAAAGAAAAAAAAAGUUCAUGGUUCCAGAAAAGAUAACAGAAACUACUUGGUGAUACCCAAGGAAAACAUACUGUAAGAACCCGUUNNNNNNNNNNNNNNNNNNNNNNNNNNNNNNNNNNNNNNNNNNNNNNNNNNNNNNNNNNNNNNNNNNNNNNNNNNNNNNNNNNNNNNNNNNNNNNNNNNNNNNNNNNNNNNNNNNNNNNNNNNNNNNNNNNNNNNNNNNNNNNNNNNNNNNNNNNNNNNNNNNNNNNNNNNNNNNNNNNNCCCUUGCCAACUGUAGAGAAAAGCUACAAACUCUACUACACAUUAUUUAGCACACAUCCAACAAUAUAAAACUUGACCAUAUUUACAUACCAGUUAAAUCAUCUACUUUUCCAGAAUAAAACGAUCUUUUUCUAAGAACUAGCCAUUAUUUUAGGUCCUAUGUGACAAGUUCAUAUAACUGAAUUAUUAUCGGCAUAUGAGAUUGAUUACUGUAUGAACUCCAAAUAUAGACGCUUGAACUAAUCUUAACCAGGAAUGAACCCUUAACAAUAUACUCGGUCAACAGAUUUAAAAUAAAGAAGGCCUGAAUAUUGGAUACAUGUACCCAAUCAGUUAAUUUUGCCAAAACUAAUUGCUGAUUAAGAAUACAUCAUAUCAAUGAUUAUUUUACUGAUAGAAGAAUAAAUGUGCCAGUGUACUUUUACCAGUAGCAUCAUCAGUCAUCACAACUUUCUUGUUUCUGAAAAAAAGUGAAAAGAAAGAGAAAGGACUUCCAAAGUCUUAUUGAUGGGAAGAAAAUAAGACUAAAAUAAACAGAAGUGUACCUGAGAUUUUGCGCCAUUUAUUCCUGCAUACGGAGGAUCAGAAGAUGCAGGAGAAACAUUUGGCUUCUCCAGAGUUGCAGCAUUUUUCACAAAAGGAUGCUCCAAUAGUAGAGCAGCAGUAGGACGAUGACGGGGCUCACGCUGCAAGCACUUCCUCACAAAAUCUUUUCCUUCAUCUGAGAGAUGUUCUGGUAUAGCUGGGAGUUCUUUACUAUUUCCAAUCUUAAACAUAGCAGCAACCUUUGAGCCCAUCAAACACCACAUAUUAGUGGUUAAGGAAAUAAAUUUGAGUUCCUUACUAUUCCCGAUCUUAAACAUAGCAGCAACCUUUGGGCCCAUCAAACACCACAUAUUAGAGGUUAAGGGAAUAAAUUGUGUUGUACAACUUGCAUCUCAAAUUAAAUUAUAGCAAAACCCAAUUCCCAGAUAAACUCCAGAAGAGAAAAAAAGGUGAAAUGCUCAACUAAUGUUCUCUAGGCCGAAUUACUCACCCCUUCGUAUUGGCUAAAAGGAGGCUUGGAUGUAGCCAUUUCUAAGACGGUGCAUCCAAGACUCCAUAUAUCAACAGCAAGGUUGCAGCCACUAGAAUUCUUUAUAACCUGAAACAUUAGCAAAGAGGCACUUUUAAGUCAAACUACAAGCAACCAAGGCGCAUGCACAAUUUUGAAGUACUGCCCAAAUCAUUCCUCACCUCGGGGGCCAUCCAGUAAGGGCUUCCCUUGAAUGAUAACGGACAUGAUUGUCCUGUAAUCUGCAAAUUUGCGAUUGAAAAAUUAAAGACAUGAGGCUCAGCCUGAAGAGCACACCUACAGAGGGUAAAAGUGUCCCUGAUGGUACAGUAUUGACAAUAACACCAGUGCAAGACUUAAUGGAUUAAGUUCUGUAUUUAUCACUCCAGAAACAAGAAACAAAGCUAGAUGAUUAGAAAAAAUGUUGUCUAUUCCAGCAGCAAUAAUUUAGAGAUCAAAGAGCAGAUUUGAAUUAAAAAAAACCAUUUGAUAUCUAAUUGAUUAUAUCAUACAGCAAAUUGCGAUCAUCUAACAUAUAACUCCUUAGAAGUUUAUGGGUAAACUUACAUGUUUUGCCAUUCCAAAGUCUGCUAACUUUAUGCGCCCAUUUGGAUCAACAAGAAUAUUUGCUCCUUUAAUAUCUCUGAGAAAAUGCAGAGUUAGGCAAUCAGGGUACAAAGGCAAAGACUGCUAAAAGAAUGAUUUUACGAAAAUUAUCCAACCAAAGAACAUAAUUACCUAUGCACUGUGUUUUUAGCAUGUAAAUAUGCAAGCCCUGAUAAGAUUUGUUGAGUAUAACUACGGAUCGCUGUUUCUCCAAAUGCACCAUAUUCUUGUAAAAGCUUAUAAAUGGACCCGCCCGAUACAUAUUCCAAGUAGAUAUACAGUUUAUCGCCAACCUGAUUGAGGUAAACAAUUCAGAAAAAAUGUCAGCUCAAAAAGAUGAUAAAAUUUCGGAGCGCUAGAAAGUCUCUUCUUUCCUUUCGGUUUAUUCAAUGCUCUGAAACUUAGCACUUGUUUUAUUGAACAGCUCAAAAAGAUGAUAAAAUUUCGGUGCGCGAGAAAGUCUGUUCUUUCCUUUCGGUUUAUUCACUGCUCUGAAACUUAGCACUUGCUUUAUUUAUUCAUGGGACGGAAAAGUAUAUGGCUCUCAUAUGAUCAGGUUUAUAGUUGCUCCCUACUUAAAUCUCGCAACUAAGCUUUGGAGUGAUAGGAUUAUGAACCAAAUUCUUUAACAGUAAUUAACAUAUCAAGCUCUCAAUUGAUAAGGCAGCAAACUGUGCCCGAAGCUCACCGUUUCUGUCCCGUAGUAUUGAACAAUGUUUGGAUGCCUCAACCGGCUUAACAAUGCAAUCUCCUGCAAAGUACUUGAAUAUAAGAGCAUACUCAAACAUGAACACAUAAAUAUAUUAUGGCUCGGGAAUCAACAACUCUAAGCAGUCCACAAACAUUAAACCUUCAAUAGACUGCUCCCUAUUGGAUAACUUACUUGAGCCAACUGCUUUGCACUUUCUUUUGACUUUGCAUCAUCUGAAAAUAAUGUAACCUCCUUCAUUGCACACAUUUCACCACUAUCACUGCAGAAUAGACAAGGCCAGGUAUUACACAAAAUCUUCAAACGAUCAAUCGUAGAAUUGGACAUGACAAUAUGUUGGAUUUAUAUUUACUUCAAAAGACCAUGGUCAGUGAAUGUACCUGUUAAAACCAACAUAAACAUGUCCAAAAACAAAAUCUUCAGACGAUCAAUAGUAGAAUUGAACAUGUCAACAUGUUGGAUUUGUAUUUACUUCAAAAGGCCAUGGUCUGUGAAUGUACCUGUUAAAACCAACAUAAACAUGUCCAAAUGUGCCUCUACCCAGCAAUUUUCCCUUUUUCCAACGAGAGCCAGGGCUAGCAAUGUUCUCAGCUCUACCUGGACUUCGAGGCACCGAGGGAGAUGUUGCAACUGAAUUGGAAUGUGAAAAGGGCGAAGAGUUGGAGAUUGUCAAAGGAGGAAGAGGCAAAGGGUGACUUUGCAGUUUUCCAUCAUCAGGCCAACAAGACUGCAAUUCACAGGCUCCACCUACAGCCCUAGGAUGAAUUGGUGUGACGGCGCCACUGUGAAUUCUCGAGCUAGGCCCUGGACUUGUCAUCCUAGGACUAGGAAUUGGUGAGUACUCUGGACUUCCUCUACAAGGCUGCCAAAACAAUUGUCCUGACAUAUCUCCUCCCAUUGAAUUAUGCCCAGAAUUCUGACCAGAUCCUGGACUUGAACAAUGGCCAGAUCCAAGUGAAGGAAGAUCUGGAUAAGCCCUUCCUGCCCAUAGAGUAGAAUUAGUAACUUGCUCACUACCAGCAGUUCUCAUAGGACUUCUAGAAGGACUUGACAUAGAACUAUCAGGGGCACUGCAAAAGGCUCCAUGACGAGGGACCUGUAUAUUGGUCACAUGACUACUUAAAGGUCUUCUUUUAGGAGAUACAGAGGAAACAUUUUUACUUGGCGAAAGACUAACUGGUGCUGUUGUUUCUUUCAAGCUAAUUUGUCCAGCCGCAGAUUGAUCCUUAACAAUCAAACUUCAAAACCAACAAGAAAAAGAAUUGUGUCAAUCAGGGUCCUACAAUUACAUAUCAAAAGAAAGCAUCAAAGUUUUUAACAAGAAAAAACACUAGCCAAAGCAAUUAAGGCCAGCCAAAGGUAAAAGAGAUGACUUUUCAAAGAAAAGAAUCGAUAAUGACCAAAUUUUCCUCUGAAUGACCUUCUACAAUUGCUAACCUGGAAGGACUACCAAUAGCAGUUCUGCUCCCAGUUUCAUAGUCAGAUGCAAGUGGACUACGUUGACGUGAAUCAGCAGGAUCAUCACUCUCAAUCGAGCACUCGCUUGAAACAGAUGCAAAGACAAGUUCUCCAUCUGUAUCUGCAGGGUCCAGUCUGUGCCUGAUGCAUGCAGGCUUGGGGAGAGGCAGAAACAAGGAUGGCUUUGAGCCCUUCUCCACUCUGGACUUUGCGGAUGCACUGAUUCCAGAGUCUGACCGACCUACAUUUGCUGGACGCAGACCAGGAAGUGGUAGUGGUUGGGCCAGAGGCCUUUCAGCAAAGCUUUGACAUCUUGCUACAUGUUUGGAAGGUGAUGAUGCUCUUGAUUGUGCUUGGGACAGAGAACCCUUCUCAGAAGCGGUGUCACUGCUAUGUCUUCGAGAACCUCCUGAUUUACUGGGAGAUUUAAUUUCAGCUGGACUCUUAAACUUGCGAUGCAAUGUGUCAAUAAAACUUUCUUUUGUUUCUUUCUUCUUAGCUUCUUUUGAUGAUGACUUCCACCAUGAAGGCAUAUUUCCUUUUGCUAUAAAUUAGCAAAAUCAAACAAAUUACUACAACAUUAUUUUCAAAUAUCCAGCCUUGUAUAAGACAAUAAACCUGCAAGCAGAAAAAGACUGGCAAGUGUCACUGCUAUGUCUUCGAGAUCCUCCUGAUUUACUGGGAGAUUUAAUUUCAGCUGGACUCUUAAACUUGCGAUGCAAUGUGUCAAUAAAACUUUCUUUUGUUUCUUUCUUCUUAGCUUCUUUUGAUGAUGACUUCCACCAUGAAGGCAUAUUUCCUUUUGCUAUAAAUUAGCAAAAUCAAACAAAUUACUACAACAUUAUUUUCAAAUAUCCAGCCUUGUAUAAGACAAUAAACCUGCAAGCAGAAAAAGACUGGCAUGAUCUAGUUAUGAAUAAUAGAAUCUCAAUCGGUUGCUACAAUCCAUAUGUCAAUCCCGCCAUAUAUUUGCAAAUCAAGAUUUUUGAAGAUAAAUAUUACAUAAAUGAUAUUCCAACAAACAGGCAUGAAGUUAAACAGGACCAAGGACAUACUUAUAGAUGAUAGAAUUAGCCAACUAAAGCAGUCAGCUUCAUAAUACAACCAUGGUAACCAAUAGUUAUGUCAGUUCAUCAAAAAGAACGUGGACAAUCAAUUAGAGGCCAAGUGGUUAAGACUUUAGACAAGCAUAACUAAGGUGCAUUAUCAAACCUUGUUUCACCUUCCUAUUGGUAGGCGUAAAAAGAUAGUUUUGUAUCAAAAAUUUAACUUUCACUUAUAAAUAAUAUGCAUAAUAAAACAGAAAUCCCUACCCCAUUUCUUUAUUUACUUGAUCCUUCGACAUGUAAUCAAUCAUUUUCCACUACAAGAAACUUCCUAGCAAACCGAUUAAACACAAUAUGGCCUGAACAUGAAAUUAGUACCCAUUAUCCAAUUCGAAGGAAUAACUCCCUUUUAUGCUUAUACAAUUUCAAAGAUUAAUGGGUAUCCAGAUAUUAGAGAACCCUUCACUCACACCAAUCAAAACUGGUGAGAGGAACUAUGACGAAAUCUCCUGUACCCAAAUUCUUUUUAGAAUCACAAUUCAAAAAUAUUGUUUUUUUCAUUUCUUGCCAUCUAGGGGUGUUUGCAUCAAACUAAUAGAUGCAUAACACGUGUAUUUUACAUACUAUAUCUUUUAUCACUUAUUCACAGUUAAAUGUUUCAAUAUGCAACUAGUGUUUGUUCCUCUUAGAAAUAAAUCUACUACUGAUCUCUCUCAGUGUUGAGUUACAGUAAUCAGCAUGAUCUCAAAAGUUCGAAAUACACAGCUUUCCAGGCAGAUCUAAAACACUAACAAUGCACUUAAACAAGUAAAAAAAGUACAGAUUUUAACAAGUUUAAUAGCCAGAAAUUUGGUGCUAAAUUGAAAACAAAGAUCACGAAAAUUUCACCUGUAAAGUGCUGAGCUGUCACAUAUCGAGCACGAAACAGCUCGCUUUCAGAUUUGGCCUGCUGAAUCCAACUCAGAUAUUAGCUCAAACGAAACCCUAGAAAAAUCUCACUCGCUCUGUCCCCGCUCCGAGAUUUUUCUGAGAGGCAGAGAUAGAGAGAGAAAUGAAGAGAUAAAAGAGCGUCCAGAAUUCGAACUGGGGAAAUUGAUUUUAGAAGAGAUCGCGUAAGAAUGGAGAUGAGAGUUUGAGA
rnacentral:lncRNA from 1 species